rnacentral:rRNA from 1 species
CUAAAUACUCCCUAGUGACCGAUAGUGAACCAGUACCGUGAGGGAAAGGUGAAAAGCACCCCGGGAGGGGAGUGAAAUAGAACCUGAAACCGUGUGCCUACAACAAGUUCGAGCCCGUUAAUGGGUGAGAGCGUGCCUUUUGUAGAAUGAACCGGCGAGUUACGAUAUGAUGCGAGGUUAAGUUGAAGAGACGGAGCCGCAGGGAAACCGAGUCUUAAUAGGGCGCCAUAGUAUCAUGUCGUAGACCCGAAACCAUGUGACCUACCCAUGAGCAGGUUGAAGGUGAGGUAAAACUCACUGGAGGACCGAACCAGGGCACGUUGAAAAGUGCUUGGAUGACUUGUGGGUAGCGGAGAAAUUCCAAACGAACUUGGAGAUAGCUGGUUCUCUCCGAAAUAGCUUUAGGGCUAGCGUCGAUGUUAAGUCUCUUGGAGGUAGAGCACUGUUUGGGUGAGGGGUCCAUCCCGGAUUACCAAUCUCAGAUAAACUCCGAAUGCCAAUGAGAUAUAAUCGGCAGUCAGACUGCGAGUGCUAAGAUCCGUAGUCGAAAGGGAAACAGCCCAGACCACCAGCUAAGGUCCCAAAAUAUAUGUUAAGUGGAAAAGGAUGUGGGGUUGCACAGACAACUAGGAUGUUAGCUUAGAAGCAGCUAUUCAUUCAAAGAGUGCGUAAUAGCUCACUAGUCGAGUGACCCUGCGCCGAAAAUGUACCGGGGCUAAAACAUAUUACCGAAGCUGUGGAUACCUUUAUAGGUAUGGUAGGAGAGCGUUCUAUGUGCGAAGAAGGUGUACCGUGAGGAGUGCUGGAGCGCAUAGAAGUGAGAAUGCCGGUAUGAGUAGCGAAAGACAGGUGAGAAUCCUGUCCACCGUAAGACUAAGGUUUCCAGGGGAAGGCUCGUCCGCCCUGGGUUAGUCGGGACCUAAGGAGAGACCGAAAGGUGUAUCCGAUGGCCAACAGGUUGAUAUUCCUGUACUAGAGUAUAUAGUGAUGGAGGGACGCAGUAGGCUAACUAAACCAGACGAAUGGAAGAGUCUGGCCAAGCAGUGAGGUGUGAUAUGAGUCAAAUGCUUAUAUCUCUAACAUUGAGCUGUGAUGGGGAGCGAAGUUUAGUAGCGAAGUUAGUGAUGUCACACUGCCAAGAAAAGCUUCUAGCGUUACACAUACUCUACCCGUACCGCAAACCGACACAGGUAGUCGAGGCGAGUAGCCUCAGGUGAGCGAGAGAACUCUCGUUAAGGAACUCGGCAAAAUGACCCCGUAACUUCGGGAGAAGGGGUGCUGACUUUACGUCAGCCGCAGUGAAUAGGCCCAAGCAACUGUUUAUCAAAAACACAGCUCUCUGCUAAAUCGUAAGAUGAUGUAUAGGGGGUGACGCCUGCCCGGUGCUGGAAGGUUAAGAGGAGUGCUUAGCGUAAGCGAAGGUAUGAAUUGAAGCCCCAGUAAACGGCGGCCGUAACUAUAACGGUCCUAAGGUAGCGAAAUUCCUUGUCGGGUAAGUUCCGACCCGCACGAAAGGCGUAAUGAUUUGGGCACUGUCUCAACGAGAGACUCGGUGAAAUUUUAGUACCUGUGAAGAUGCAGGUUACCCGCGACAGGACGGAAAGACCCCAUGGAGCUUUACUGCAGUUUGAUAUUGAGUAUCUGUACCACAUGUACAGGAUAGGUAGGAGCCUAGGACCUCGGGACGCCAGUUUCGAGUGAGGCGUUGUUGGGAUACUACCCUUGUGUUAUGGCUACUCUAACCCAGAUAGGUUAUCCCUAUCGGAGACAGUGUCUGACGGGCAGUUUGACUGGGGCGGUCGCCUCCUAAAAGGUAACGGAGGCGCCCAAAGGUUCCCUCAGAAUGGUUGGAAAUCAUUCGCAGAGUGUAAAGGUAUAAGGGAGCUUGACUGCGAGAGCUACAACUCGAGCAGGGACGAAAGUCGGGCUUAGUGAUCCGGUGGUUCCGCAUGGAAGGGCCAUCGCUCAACGGAUAAAAGCUACCCUGGGGAUAACAGGCUUAUCUCCCCCAAGAGUUCACAUCGACGGGGAGGUUUGGCACCUCGAUGUCGGCUCGUCGCAUCCUGGGGCUGUAGUCGGUCCCAAGGGUUGGGCUGUUCGCCCAUUAAAGCGGCACGCGAGCUGGGUUCAGAACGUCGUGAGACAGUUCGGUCCCUAUCCGUCGCGGGCGUAGGAAAUUUGAGAGGAUCUGCUCCUAGUACGAGAGGACCAGAGUGGACUUACCGCUGGUGUACCAGUUGUUCUGCCAAGAGCAUCGCUGGGUAGCUAUGUAGGGAAGGGAUAAACGCUGAAAGCAUCUAAGUGUGAA